CCGGGACUAAAAAANCACCGGCUAACUUACGUGCCANCAGCCCGCGGUAAUACGUAGGGUGCGAGCGUUAAUCGGAAUUACUGGGCGUAAAGCGUGCGCAGGCGGUUUUUUAANACAGGCGUGAAAUCCCCGGGCUUAACCUGGGANCUGCGUUUGUGACUGGAAGGCUAGAGUACGGCAGAGGGGGGUGGAAUUCCACGUGUAGCAGUGAAAUGCGUAGANAUGNGGAGGAAACACCAAUGGCGAA
rnacentral:rRNA from 1 species